rnacentral:rRNA from 1 species
CCUACGGGAGGCAGCAGAUAUUGGACAAUGGGCGCAAGCCUGAUCCAGCAAUGCCGCGUGGGUGAAGAAGGCCUUCGGGUUGUAAAGCCCUUUUGUACGGGAAGAAAAGCUUCGGAUUAAUACUUCGAGGUCAUGACGGUACCGUAAGAAUAAGCACCGGCUAACUUCGUGCCAGCAGCCGCGGUAAU